AGAGUUUGAUCCUGGCUCAGGAUGAACGCUAGCUACAGGCUUAACACAUGCAAGUCGAGGGGCAGCAUGUUGGUUGCUUGCAACCAAUGAUGGCGACCGGCGCACGGGUGAGUAACGCGUAUCCAACCUACCCUUGUCCAUCGGAUAACCCGUCGAAAGGCGGCCUAACACGAUAUGCGGUUCUCAGCAGGCAUCUAACGAGAACGAAAUGUGAAGGAGAAGGAUGGGGAUGCGUCUGAUUAGCUUGUUGGCGGGUAACGCCACCAAGGCGACGAUCGAGUAGGGGUUCUGAGACGGAAGGUCCCCCANAUUGGAACUGAGACACGGUCCAAACUCCGUACGGGAGGC
rnacentral:rRNA from 1 species